rnacentral:lncRNA from 1 species
UGGGCGGCGGGAGAACGCCGGGGUGUCCGGGGGCUGUGCAGGGCCCUGCUGCCAGGCCUCCGCCGCUGUGGGGCUGUUUGUGUGUCCUCUUGAACGUUAAGGUGGUGCGAGGUCAACGGGUCUAGCUGGGCCACCACGGCACCACAAACGUGCGCUCUGGGUGCUCGGCGCGGCCAGCCUGGCUCUCCGUCUUUCCAGGGCCGUGAUGCCUCCAGGUCUCACCCGACAGGGCUGCGCGGGUAGAAGUGAGCCGCGGCGGCCCGGGAUGUCUGCGCUGUGGUCUCGAAACGUUUUACAGAGGAUACUAACACUGUGGAUUGGGAAACAUCACUUCUCGAUUCAGAGACUUGUUCAAAGCAGCCAGAGGAGCCAGGGAUGUGGCCUGCAAACGGUGAGUCCCCAUCACAUGCUGUAGCUCUUAGACCCAAAUGUUCUGCACUCCUGAUCUUGCAUUUCUUCCAGGCUGCCUGCACUGGCUAGACUGGUAAUGGGGAACUCCUCGAAGGCCAGUCAUAUUGCACAGAGCACCUGCAGGACAGGUUGCUUCUCGUGGCCAUGCAUGAUCAGUUGGACUACCUCUG